UGCAACGAUGAAGAACGCAGCGAAAUGCGAUACGUAGUGUGAAUUGCAGAAUUCCGCGAAUCAUCGAGUCUUUGAACGCAAGUUGCGCCCGAGGCUCGUCCGAGGGCAUUUCCGCCAGAGCGUUACCGCGUCCCUUC
rnacentral:rRNA from 1 species